UCUCUGUAACCUUACCUAGACUCCGGGAAGGUUCUCCCACAUCUCCGGCCGACAGAAAAGGCAAAAAGGAGAUGAAAUCUCUGAAACAAGAGCAAGCUUGGCAUUUGGAAGAAAAUAAAAGAAAAUGGAAGGCAUGAACCACUGGGAGCUGUCUUUAGUGACACCUACUGAUAAGAGCCAAUCGGAACCACGGCUGAAUUCCUUCGGGCUGGACCUGCCAACAAGCUGCUCGGCCCUCCAGAUGUUGCUGCUCCGUGAGAAAUGAGAACUCAAUAAACCAGGCUCACCCUUCCCCCGGGGUGAACGCAAAGACAGGCAGAUAUGGAAAAUCACUGCUCAGCACCACGAACAAUGCGCUCAAGUGAAGGGUUGGGCCGGUUCGUAUUCGUCUUGGUGGAACAGACAGCCAUGAGCCUAAUGCAAGAAUUUGAGCUGGCAACAGUUCAAAAUGACUAUACAUUGAAAUUGCCCAACAACAAAAAAGGCUUUUUAGCUAGGAAAAAGCCCAACAGUGGGCUUCAGCAAAUGCAGUGUACUUAUUGAUGGGGUUAAAUAUGUAUCGCACAUGAUUUUACUACACUGAACAUUUAUUUUUCCACUGUUUGUGUUUUUCAGAGUCCAUUCUUUUGUGUUAUGUAACAAAUUAGAAAGAUGAGGCAGUAAACAGCCUCAUGGCACAUCCUAACUGUGAAUAAUAUUCAGCGAGUGUGUGCGGUUCUGGGAAUAGAACAAAGUGAACCAAAGUGAAUUCAUUUUCGUUCUCUGAAUCACAGUGUCCCAGUCUUUCCCAGUACAGGUUAGCUUCUGGUGUUGCUGGAAGCUAGUAAGAAAGUGUAUUACCAGUCUUUUAUCCUGAGCCAGACCCUCAAUCACUUAUCUGUUCAUCCAAACUUACCUAUACCCACAUUAUAUGCAUUCAUGCACCCCAUGAAUGCCCAAAUGGAAAGCCAACCCCAAUAUGUGAUGAGACACUAUUUUUCUCAUGAUAAUCCCCAAGUAAACCUUUUGGUUACCUUAAAUAGGGAAAGCAUAAUGGAUAUUAAUAAGUUAAAUUUUUAUCAAUGCUCUUUAAUUUACUAAUCUAAUCUCAUACAAAUAUACUUGCAAUCCCAUCUUAUAUAUACUGAUAUAUUAAUUUAGAACCCAUUUUUUGAGUUCACAUCUGACAUACUUUUUGUUUGAGCCCUUCACAGUAAUCUUGGAGAUAGUCAAGAUGCGGCAGAAACUUCAUCUUCACUAGAGCUAUUUUUUUGAAUCACCUAAUACAGUCCUUUAGAGUCUGUUGCCAAAACUUCUAUUUAGUUUUGAAUCUGAGUUUGUAAUAUUCUUUUUCAAAUUGUAUCCCAGCCACUUGCACCCAUUGCAUAAUAUUAGGAUUUUAAGAAAACUUCCCCGUGGUCCCCAGAAGAGAACCAUUGGAGCGAACCUGGAAGGUCUCAUUUCAUGAUACCCAACAUGCAAAACUGUCAAACAUCCAACAAUAAUGACUAAAUCUAUGGCAUUGUUUUCUUUUUUAAAAGCUGCUCAUAUCAGAUAGCUUCUACAAGCUUCCAAGACUAGCAUUAAUUGAGACCGUUUCAGCCUAACAAAUCCCCAUCAAGUGAUGUUUUUUGUUCAGAAUAAAGUAAUUGAGAGAGCAUCCCCAUGAAACAAGAUAUUUGGCAAAUACUUAACAUGAGAUGAUCCUGUUAUUUAAGAGAUAAUAUUUGGGGGGAAACUUUGUCUAAUACACAGACAUAUUCAGUGUAUUCA